rnacentral:lncRNA from 1 species
UGUCAAGAAAAGAAAAAAAAGAACCACAUAAUGAGACUAAAAUCCCAAUGAAUGAAUAGUCCAUCUAACAGUGAAGAUACUAAAAAGAUAUAGCUUAAUAUACAUAAUAUCUUACAUCAUGCACUGCUAGAAUAGACUAUUAUACCUUCAACACUUUUAUAUGCUAAACAAGGAUAAAGUCAUGUAAAAGAUAGUCUAUAUGCUGAACCAUGUAAAAGGAAUAAACCAUAACAAACACAGGCAUGUGAUUACUGUUAACUACACCCCAGCACACCCUUAAAACCAUUAAGCCUCCACGGCACAUUAUUUUGCCAUAGGUAUACUUUUUCUCCACAAACAUAUUAUUUUAUCAUAGGCAUAAUGUUUACCAUAGGUGUAUAGUUUCACUACAGGCUCAUCACCAC